GGAGGAGACCCGGCCCGGGGGGGGGCGUUCAAGGACCUCGGAGCCACCGGACGGCGUCUGUUGUCCCUGACAGGCAGAAAAGGAAAAGGAUGCUUCCAACCCCCCCCCUCCCGCAAAGGACUUAUAACCAUUGUGGCCAUCCCUGCUCUGCUCGGGGGUGUGUGUGUGCAAUCAUCCUAUCCGCGGCGGCAGCUGUGCGGGCCGGUCGCGCUGAGCGGAGGUCAAGGCCCGCGGCGCCGGGCCCUCCGUCCGUCCCUCCGUCCGUCCGUCCUUCCCUCCCUCCCUCUCGGCGGCCCUUCCAGGAGGCAGAGAGGUAAGAGCGCCGGGCUGGGCGGGAAGGGAAUCCCUCGCUCCCCGGGAACUGGAGCCCUUCCUCCAGCUGAGCAGGGGCUGCUGCCGACGUCACCGCCGCCGCCUCGCCCGGCCAGCCCGGCUCCCUUCCCACGUCGAAGGGAAGUCCGGGCGAGGAGCAUCACCGGCCCGCGGCCCUGGGCUGGCCUGCCUGCGGAGACCCGAGAGAGAGAGAGAGCGAGCGAGAGAGCCAAGAGGGGCCUUGGCAUCACUUCCGACCCCGCCGCCUCCGCCGCCGCCACCGAUAUGCUGGCAGACCUGCAGAUCUGGAAGGAUAAACCUUUCUUAUACGUGCUGAAUCUUUUUACGCUUCCAGAUGCACGUUGGGAUUCAUGGACAUAUUCCACUUUAUCGGUGUCCCUUACAAAUCUACUUUUGAAUGUCUGCUUUGAGAUCAGCUGCUCUGAAAUCAGUGACAUUGUGUCUGGUGAAACUGUUCUUGUGCUGCCUUUGUUACGUGAAGCAUUUCUGUGGUUAUAUUAGUGUCUGUUUCCUUGUCUAGAGAUGGUGUUGAGAGAAUUGGUCGUGCGUCUAUAUAGUAAUUGCUCCAGACAUCAUGUUGAAGCCAUAUUGUCUGAGGGGCUACAGUCGUGAUAGAAAUCAGAACAUUCAAAGGCACCAAAUUGAUGGGAACCCCCAAGACAGGGAUCAAAACAGAUGUGCUAAUUAGCACGUCCUCGUUAGGGGUAAACAUGCACAAACCCUCUGCAAAAUUGCCCUGGAGGCAGGCGCUUCCUUAACAGACAGGGAAAGUGAUGAGCGUGCAAGGAUCGCACACUGUGAUUUUGACACCCGGUUUCUGAGCACAGCUCUCACCAUUGGCAUCGCUUGUCUUGGUUUAAAUAUCUGCAUUGCCUAAUUGACUGGAAGACAAAGCUUGGGAAAAACCUUCGGACAGCGCCUUCAGCCAGCAUGGCUGCUGCCCACACAGGCCAGGGAACUCGACGAGGUGCAGUUCAAAAAAGUAACUUCUCUGAGUUCCACUUCAAUGUUGAGUUUCGACAGUGGGUCAGGAAUCCCAGGGGAGCCCCCCUCCCUCCUGUUCUCCUCCUGCUCUUCUCCUCCCUGAUCUUUCGCAGAAAGAGGGACUAGCCGGGUCAGAUAAGUGGAUAGUUGGAGCUUCUGAAGGCAGCCCACCGGUGCCGUCGCCCCUCCUGGAUGAACGGGUGGCUGUUUUCACCCUCCGUGAGCUGGCUUUUGCGCUGCUUGAACAUUUCAGUGCGUUUCUUCAUGCAGAUGAGUUUGGAGAGAAAAUACAUUUAAAAAGGCAUAUGCAUGUGUCUGUCUGUCUCGCUCUCUUUGUGUGUGUGCGUGUGUGUGUGUGAGAGAGAGAGAGCAUGUGGGAGGGAGAGGGAGGAUGAGAGAAAUAAGUUUAGAAGCAUGCGUUUU
ensembl:lncRNA